rnacentral:tRNA from 1 species
UGGGGUAUCGCCAAGCGGUAAGGCACCGGUUUUUGAUACCGGCAUUCCCGGUUCGAAUCGGGUACCCCAGCCA